GAUGAACGCUGGCGGCGUGCCUAAUACAUGCAAGUCGAGCGAACGGACGAGAAGCUUGCUUCUCUGAUGUUAGCGGCGGACGGGUGAGUAACACGUGGAUAACCUACCUAUAAGACUGGGAUAACUUCGGGAAACCGGAGCUAAUACCGGAUAAUAUUUUGAACCGCAUGGUUCAAAAGUGAAAGACGGUCUUGCUGUCACUUAUAGAUGGAUCCGCGCUGCAUUAGCUAGUUGGUAAGGUAACGGCUUACCAAGGCAACGAUGCAUAGCCGACCUGAGAGGGUGAGCGGCCACACUGUAACUGAGACACGGUCCAGACGCCUACGGGAGGCAGCAGUAGGGAAUCUUCCGCAAUGGGCGAAAGCCUGACGGAGCAACGCCGCGUGAGUGAUGAAGGUCUUCGGAUCUUAAAACUCUGUUAUUAGGGAAGAACAUAUGUGUAAGUAACUGUGCACAUCUUGACGGUACCUAAUCAGAAAGCCACGGCUAACUACGUG
rnacentral:rRNA from 1 species